ensembl:lncRNA
GAGUGUUUUGGAGAGUGGUAGAGAAAGAAGGAAUUGGAGAGAAAAGGAUGAGGGGGAGAGGAAGAGAGAGAGAGGCUCACUGCCUGUUGACUCACUGAGCAGGAAUGACUUGACUGGUCAUGAUCUGUAUGACUGAGCAGUGCGCACGCUCUCUCUUUCUCACACACGCUCUCUCUCUCUCUUGCACUCUCUCACCACAGACACACUCACCCGCUGAGUGGAGAGCUCCAGGACAGGCUGCUCUCGCAGCACAGCCUCAGGGACUUAGAGGACGGACACAGGAUGUGAAGAGAGCAGGUGGCUGACAGUCUCACAGCAACAGACCCUUGGCAGGCAGAGAGGUCGCUGAGCUCUGAGAACAACAGUUAGUUGGAUCUUCUUCACAGCUCUACUGUUAAGAGGCAGUGUCCAAAGUGUGGAGGAUGAUGUCACACGUCAGCUGUCCUCAUAGCUGGGCUACCAUGGCAACGACAUUCAUCAGAAUGACUUCCUGCAAAAGCAAAGCACUGUCACGAUCACUUUCUGUACUGACAGAUCACUUUAUAAGGAUAAUUAUUGUGUUUGUGUAAGGUAAAGCAUUGAAAUGCUAUGCCAAAUGAGUGGACUGUCUUUGUAAAUCUACUUGUCAUCCAUGUCACAACUGCUGCACAGAGUUUCUAAAUAAGCAAAGUGUCCUCCAAAAUCUUUGCUGCUGCCACGCAACCACUGCAUCCCUAUUGUCCGGCAGGGAAAGUCUUCCCCCAGAGGCUGGUUUCACAUGGUGGUUUAGAUUAAUGUUCCCAGUGUCUAGCACCAUUUGAAAUCAGUGUUCUUGGGGACAGGAGAACAGCACUGGGCCUCUGGUAGUGUCAGUCAGUCUAUUGGAGCCAUCCUCUCUCUCUCUCUCCCCUUUAAAGGAUGACUGAUUUCCUCUGGUGUUUAGAGCCCCUUAAAGCCUUCUAGCACCAUUUGAAAUCGGUUAUAAUGACUGGGGAUCAAUGCCUCAAUGUCUUCACGAUGUCUACAUGUCAACUCUACAGUCAAGCAGACAGGAAAUGAAUUGGAUGAAUGUUCAUAUUAUACGUGUCACAGGGUCUGCUCUACAGAUCCUGGAAUCGCAAUGAGUUGGACAGGAGCUCAAUUCCAGUGGGACAGUUUUAAAGUGUUUAUUGAAUAAAUGUUCAACUAAACUGAAUUGAUAUUGCAUACUUAUUUGACUUUUUCUGUGUGUAUGUUAUCAUAUUUGUGUCCGUGGUUCUGAACAUGCAUGUGAACUAUAUAACCCCGCUCUGCUAUGUAUAAAACUCAGAGCUCAAGGGAUCAUAACAAGUCAUUUCACAAUACCCUCACUCAUAACAGAUUGAAUCACUGUUAUAUCUAGCAGCACUCAACACAAUCC